rnacentral:rRNA from 1 species
UACGAAGGGGGCUAGCGUUGUUCGGAAUUACUGGGCGUAAAGCGCGCGCAGGCGGUCUUCCAAGUCAGUGGUGAAAGCCCGGAGCUCAACUCCGGAACUGCCAUUGAAACUGUUGGACUUGAGUAUGAGAGAGGUGAGUGGAAUUCCCAGUGUAGAGGUGAAAUUCGUAGAUAUUGGGAAGAACACCGGUGGCGAAGGCGGCUCACUGGCUCAUUUCUGACGCUCAGGCGCGACAGCGUGGGAUCAAACAGG